UGCCUAUGAUGUAUUUAUCUGCACGUAUUAUCAGACAUACUAAUGAUGAUAUGUGAUUGUCACUACCUCUGAGGCA